rnacentral:tmRNA from 1 species
GGGGAUGUUUCUGGAUUCGACGGGAUUGAUCAUUGGUUUGGACUGCAUGUCGAUCACCACAAGUAAAUCGUAAAAAGUCUUGUGAAACUGAUAAAUGCUAAUAAUAAUUACGCAUUAGCUGCCUAAUAUAAGGUAGCUCGUCCACCUCCAGAGUUCCUAUUCCUUUGUUGGAUGGACGCCAUCUGAGUAGGUUUGCUUUGAUCCUUUCCUGAGGGUGAUAAGUGCGACUAAUCAGGAUAGUCUUUUGGGUACCGAGUCUGUUUGGAGCUCUUAAGGCGAAACUUAUAAAUAGACUACACAUGUAGACGUUCUUGUUAAUGCUUUUUCGGACAGGGGUUCAACUCCCCUCAUCUCCACAA